UUUGACUUAUGGUGAUUGUGCAGCUAGGAAGCUCCAUUCAUCUUGGUACUGAAUCAAUCUCCCCAUUCUUAUAUACGUUUCUGCUCUCCUGUUAACCCGGGGAGAUGGAAUUUUUUUUGAAUUUUCUCACUCUGGACUUAUUUUAAUGAUGUGUGUUCUUGUCUACAGAGGAAUGCCAGGAGCGAAUUUGUUUUUUAAACGCCUCGUGCUCGGAACCAAAUUGCAAAAGGGCCUGCCGGAAUAUUUGGGGACAUGACGUCAUUCGAUCGGACUGUUGGGUCGCAAACCUGUCCACGGCGUAUUGUUACUGUGUCGUAUGUUUCUAAGGUUGCACUAAUCCUGAUGUCAAAGGAUGGACAAUGAUGUAAUCUGUAAUAAAAUCUUCUUGUGACAUGCUUGUGAGAAUGCUUAUUGAUCAUCAAUUAGUUUAGCUGUUCUAUUUUUACCAUGUUGUGCACAAUCAUAGAUUUGGCGAUUUUGUCUUUGCAUGGUAUCCCUG
rnacentral:lncRNA from 1 species